AUAUCACCAAAUACCAUGUAUGUUGUAAAGCACACAUCACAGUGUUCUGGAACUUGCUGCAAUCUGGAACAAGAAGGAAGUUGCAUCACAGAAUCCGAGCCGGUCUUCUCAAAGCCCCACAAGAGAUUUCCAAAAGAUCUUAAUUGUUAUCCAUUUGAGUUAUUAAAGCAACAAAAUAGAAGCCGCUUGUGGCAUUUGAUGCAACUGUUGUUUAAGGGUUUUCAGACCUACCUACCUAUAUUCCACCAUGGAACUUCGGUCUGAUCAACGCCUCAAAAAGGCAAAGGGCCAUCGCAUUUCUGCAGAGCUCCAACAUGCAGAGCCCCUACCAGUACAAAUUGCAUAUGGAUCAAGUCCCAGUAAAAUGCACGGCAGUGCUGCUCCCUGUGAUGAAAGAAGGUUUCAAGAGGCAGGUACUACAGCGAAGCCACCAAUGAAGUGCUUCUACUCUUCACAUACCCUCACUGAGGAGGUCCCACUGCCUCCCAGCCCUCCACCUGGCGUGAUGGACAUGGGAGACACUCUUGAGAUCAACGUAAAAAGAUUCAGAUUUUCUUCUCCGGAUGGACUCACACUUCCCCGAAGUUACCCACACGCUGCCGAUGAGUUGGGCACGGGAGACACUCCCGAGAAAACGAACUCCGGAGAAAAACAAGACUUGAAGGAGGCUGGGUGUCCGUCUCCGCUCUCCCCGCCUCUCAGCAGGAAGGCUCGUGAGAUGGCCCGGCCUCCAAGUCCUCCCGUGCCGCACGUGGGACCCAUUCGCGGAGAGAAGAGGUACCGAGACUUAGGAAACAUCGUCUUCCCUUGUCUAGAUGAUGACAGUGAUCCUAAGCCUCCCAACCUGUUGCAUCAGGAGGUUCCUCUAUGUCCAAGUCCUCCUCCACCCGUGCUUUACAUGGGACACACUCACCAAAAAAGAUACCCGGAUUUGAGAAACAUCGUCUUCCCUUGUCUAGAUGAUGACAGUGAUCCUAAGCCUCCCAACCCGUUGCAUCAGGAGGUUCCUCUAUGUCCAAGUCCUCCUCCACCCGUGCUUUACAUGGGACACACUCACCAAAAAAGAUACCCGGAUUUGAGAAACAUCGUCUUCCCUUGUCUAGAUGAUGACAGUGAUCCUAAGCCUCCCAACCUGUUGCAUCAGGAGGUUCCUCUAUGGCCAAGUCCUCCUCCACCUGUGCUUUACAUGGGACACACUCACCAGAAAAGGUACCCGGAUUUGAGAAACAUCGUCUUCCCUUGUCUAGAUGUCCAGGGGCCUGAUUCGGUGCCCCCCGGCUGGCUGUGUGGGAGCCAUAUUGGACCACACCAAGAGAAGAUAUAGAUUUAUCUACUGUUACUUUUCCUUGUCUGGACGCAGACAUAUGAGUCACACAACAUAAAAUCCUAAAAUGUUCAAAUUAAUAAAUACUAAAUAAAAAAUAAAAUUAAAA
ensembl:lncRNA